AGAACGAACGCUGGCGGCGCGCCUAAUACAUGCAAGUCGAGCGAGAAGGUGUAGCAAUACACUUGUAAAGCGGCGAACGGGUGAGGAAUACAUGGGUAACCUACCAUCGAGUGGGGAAUAACCAGCCGAAAGGUUGGCUAAUACCGCGUACGCCUCCAAAUCUUCGGAUUCGGAGGGAAAGCCACACUGUGAGUGUGGCGCUCUUUGAUGGGCUCAUGUCCUAUCAGUCUUGUUGGUAGGUACGCCUACCAAGGCUUUGACGGGUAGCUGGUCUGAGAGGACGAUCAGCCACACUGGCACUGCGACA
rnacentral:rRNA from 1 species